rnacentral:rRNA from 1 species
GACGAACCGUGCGAACGUUUAUUCGGAAUUACUGGGCUUAAAGCGUGCGUAGGCGGCCUAGCAAGUCAGGUGUGAAAGCCCUCGGCUCAACCGAGGAAUUGCGCCCGAAACUGCUGGGCUUGAGUGAGACAGAGGUGAGCGGAACUGAUGGUGGAGCGGUGAAAUGCGUUGAUAUCAUCAGGAACACCGGUGGCGAAGGCGGCAUCCUGGACCAAUACGUGACGCUGAGGCGCGAAAGCUAGGGGAGCAAACGGG